rnacentral:sRNA from 1 species
AUUAAUGACACUUUGCCUUCAUUCAAAUCAGCAGAGCAGCACGUUGUGCAUUUCAGUUCCUGGGAUUUGCAUGCUAAUCGAUCUGGAUUCAUUAUGGGAUCAAGACUUGGGACACUCACGCUGAAGAGUUCCCCAGCUCCCCACAGGAGAAUCAUCUGCUCUUCACCAUCUGCCAGCUGUGGAGUGAGUGAGCCCAGCACGAUCAGGUUCUGGAGACUGUGGAAGAUUCAAGCAUCUCACCAGCUGGUCUAGACUCCCAGUGCCAUCUGCAUACUUCCGAAGCUCUUCUUGCCAUGCUACAUGGUCAGUGCACACAAGAACAUUCUUAGGGUGGAGAACAUCUCCUUGGAAUGCAGUCUGUUUUGGUAACAUGUGGAGACUGAUCUGAUAACUCACAGCAGCACACAUGAAUGCUUCAUUCAUUUUUCAAAGGCACAGUAACUUUUUGGCUUGAGCAGUACUCAGCUGCAAAUAGAAGGCCACAUC